CCCCUGACUCUGGGAUAAGCGCUGGAAACGGCGUCUAAUACUGGAUACGAACCGUGGAGGCAUCUUCAACGGUUGGAAAGAUUUUUUGGUCAGGGAUGAGCUCGCGGCCUAUCAGCUUGUUGGUGAGGUAAUGGCUCACCAAGGCGUCGACGGGUAGCCGGCCUGAGAGGGUGACCGGCCACACUGGGACUGAGACACGGCCCAGACUCCUACGGGAGGCAGCAGUGGGGAAUAUUGCACAAUGGGCGCAAGCUGAUGCAGCAACGCCGCGUGAGGCGAUGACGGCCUUCGGGUUGUAAACCUCUUUUAGCAGGGAAGAAGCGAAAGUGACGGUACCUGCAGAAAAAGCGCCGGCUAACUACGUGCCAGCAGCCGCGGUAAUACGUAGGGCGCAAGCGUUAUCCGGAAUUAUUGGGCGUAAAGAGCUCGUAGGCGGUUUGUCGCGUCUGCUGUGAAAUCCCGAGGCUCAACCUCGGGUCUGCAGUGGGUACGGGCAGACUAGAGUGCGGUAGGGGAGAUUGGAAUUCCUGGUGUAGCGGUGGAAUGCGCAGAUAUCAGGAGGAACACCGAUGGCGAAGGCAGAUCUCUGGGCCGUAACUGACGCUGAGGAGCGAAAGGGUGGGGAGCAAACAGGCUUAGAUACCCUGGUAGUCCACCCCGUAAACGUUGGGAACUAGUUGUGGGGUCCAUUCCACGGAUUCCGUGACGCAGCUAACGCAUUAAGUUCCCCGCCUGGGGAGUACGGCCGCAAGGCUAAAACUCAAAGGAAUUGACGGGGACCCGCACAAGCGGCGGAGCAUGCGGAUUAAUUCGAUGCAACGCGAAGAACCUUACCAAGGCUUGACAUAUACGAGAACGCUGCAGAAAUGUAGAACUCUUUGGACACUCGUAAACAGGUGGUGCAUGGUUGUCGUCAGCUCGUGUCGUGAGAUGUUGGGUUAAGUCCCGCAACGAGCGCAACCCUCGUUCUAUGUUGCCAGCACGUAAUGGUGGGAACUCAUGGGAUACUGCCGGGGUCAACUCGGAGGAAGGUGGGGAUGACGUCAAAUCAUCAUGCCCCUUAUGUCUUGGGCUUCACGCAUGCUACAAUGGCCGGUACAAAGGGCUGCAAUACCGUAAGGUGGAGCGAAUCCCAAAAAGCCGGUCCCAGUUCGGAUUGAGGUCUGCAACUCGACCUCAUGAAGUCGG
rnacentral:rRNA from 1 species